rnacentral:lncRNA from 1 species
ACAAAGAGGGAUGAAUGGAUGAAGAUGGAGUAUAAAACAUCCUAGAAGGUUCACCUCUUGAGAUCAUAUAGAAGAUGAUUCAAGUGUGUCCUUUGGAAUAGGCAGUGAGCAAUAACAAACAAGCAAAGCAAAAGAGGAAAGUCAACAAAAGCGGAUACCGGAUGCCAAUCACUGGACUUAUACCAAUCUCCUAAAACGAAACUGGAUAUCAGAGGCCACUCUAUGGACUUA